CUCUCACGAACACAGAGAAUCAUUCCCCGCACAUCGAAUCCCACACUCACCGACGCGUGGGCCCCAAUCACUCCCGCACAUCACUGACACGUGGGCCCCACGCACCCAGAGCCAGAGCCCAGAAAGGCCUCGUCCUCCUCCUCCUCUCUGAUUCGUCACCGCCACCGCCGCGUCGUCCCGCGUCUCUCCUCACCUCUCGUCUCCCUCGCGACGUCUCCCCUUCUCCCUCCACCCCUCCAAUGGUGGGCUCCGAUGGCGACGGCGACGGCGGCGGAGGGGAAGCACACGCGCCGGCGGCGCCCGCGCACCACCACCGCCGGCCCCCGCGCCCGCGGGGAGGCAGCGGGGCCAUCGUCGAGGGCUUCGCGGCGGCGCUCCGUCGCAGGAUCCGCUCGGGGGCCGCGGCGGCCGCGCGGGCCAGCUUCGGGGGCGACUCCGGGGACGAGGCCGCCUCCGGGGAGCCCUCCUCGUCCUCGUCCUCGUCCCCGUCCCGCCGCCGUGGCGGCGACUCCAACGGGGCGGAGGCGUCCUCCGCCGCCGGGGGCGGUGGUGGCCGUGGCGGCGGUGGGGACUUCUCCGCGUUCACGUUCCGCGCGGCGGCGCCGGUGCACCGCAAGGCCAAGGAGAGCCCCCUCAGCUCCGACGCCAUCUUCAAGCAGAGUCAUGCAGGCCUUUUCAACCUAUGCAUUGUUGUUCUAGUUGCAGUGAACAGCAGGCUUAUUAUCGAGAACUUAAUGAAGUAUGGCUUAUUAAUAAGAGCUGGGUUUUGGUUUAAUGAUAAAUCAUUGCGGGACUGGCCACUUCUAAUGUGUUGUCUUAGUCUGCCUGCUUUCCCCCUGGGUGCAUUUGCAGUUGAAAAGUUGGCAUUUAACAAUGUUAUUACUGAUGCUGUUGCUACCUGCCUCCAUAUCUUCCUUUCAACAACCGAAAUUGUAUAUCCAGUGCUUGUGAUUCUUAAGUGUGAUUCUGCAGUUUUGUCUGGCUUUUUGUUGAUAUUUAUUGCCUGUAUUGUUUGGCUGAAGCUUGUAUCUUUUGCACAUACAAACCAUGAUAUAAGGCAACUGACCAUGGGCGGCAAGAAGGUUGAUAAUGAACUAAGCACAGUUGACAUGGAUAAUUUACAACCUCCAACUUUAGGGAAUCUAAUAUACUUCAUGAUGGCUCCUACACUCUGUUAUCAGCCAAGCUAUCCCCGAACUUCAUGUGUUAGAAAAGGUUGGCUGAUUCGUCAAAUUAUUCUGUACUUGAUCUUUACUGGUCUUCAAGGCUUCAUUAUUGAGCAAUACAUAAAUCCAAUUGUUGUGAAUUCUCAGCAUCCAUUGAAAGGAGGACUCCUAAAUGCUGUAGAGACUGUUUUGAAACUCUCAUUACCAAAUGUUUACCUGUGGCUUUGCAUGUUCUAUGCUUUUUUCCAUCUCUGGUUAAGUAUACUUGCUGAGAUUCUUCGAUUUGGUGACCGUGAAUUCUACAAAGAUUGGUGGAAUGCAAAAACAAUUGAUGAGUAUUGGAGAAAAUGGAAUAUGCCUGUACAUAAAUGGGUUGUUCGCCAUAUUUACUUUCCUUGCAUGCGAAAUGGUAUAUCAAAGGAAAAGGUGACAAAACACCGGCCGCAGGCCAGCCAGGGAAGUUGCUGUCUUGAUAUCAUUCCUUGUUUCUGCCGUACUCCAUGAGAUAUGUGUCGCUGUUCCCUGCCGCAUUCUCAAGUUCUGGGCAUUCUUAGGAAUAAUGCUACAGAUCCCCCUUAUCGUAUUGACAGCAUACCUCAAAAGUAAAUUCAGAGAUACAAUGGUUGGCAACAUGAUAUUUUGGUUCUUUUUCUGCAUCUAUGGGCAGCCAAUGUGCCUUCUCCUGUACUAUCAUGAUGUGAUGAACAGGAUUGAGAAGGCAAGAUAAAUGCGUGUUGCCAUCUUUUUCCUCUGUUUCAUUUUGUACCAGCAGAAGCACAAGCAAUAAUCCACAUGCUAGCCAUAAAACAGCAUGAUUCCCAACGGUGUGGUACAGCCAACCUUCCUGUUAUUCUAUUUUCUUGGCUGUGGUGUAGAUUUAGUUUUUAACUUGUGGCUAACCGCAGGAAUGCCUGUAGAUAAGCAUCUGUCAUUCUGUCUGGCGACGUUCUCCUUAUUAAUGUGUAGAUGUAGAACUGUUUCCGAAAACUAUAUAUCUUGAAUCUGUUAUGCCUCGACGAACAUAAUCCUUUUGUUAAGCUUAGUUGGUACAGUCUAGAAAGGAUAAGAGUCGUGGAUGUACGAUUUCGUCUGCCAUAUAUCACGCUCAUAUUGGCACAGGUAACUUUGUCGCUA